GGAUAACCGUAGUAAUUCUAGGGCUAAUACAUGAGAAAGUCCUCUGGUGAGGUGUGUUUAUUAGAAUGAAAACCAUAUGCUUCGGCAUGAUAGUGAGUAAUAGUAACCUAUCGUAUCGCAUGCUUAAUGUAGCGAUGAGUCUUUCAAGUUUCUGCCCUAUCAGCUUUCGAUGGUAUAUAUGGGCCUACCAUGGCAUAACGGGUAACGAAGAAUUGGGUUCGAUUUCGGAGAGGGAGCCUGAGAGAGGCUACCACAUCCAAGGAAGGCAGCAGCGCGUAAUUACCCAAUCCUGACACAGGAGUAGUGACAAUAAUCACAAUGCG
rnacentral:rRNA from 1 species